AAUAAAUAUUAAUAAAAAAAUUUUUAAAUUUAUUAAGUAUUUUAAUGGGGGUUAAAGUAUUUUAAUAGAAAAAAUUUAAAUUUUUAUAGUUAAUUAGUAUUGUGGGAGAAAUUUGAAAUAAUUAUAAAAUAUAAAUUUAUUAAAAAGUAAUUUUUAUUUAGUGUAUCUUGUGUAUCAGAGUUUAUUAAAAAUUUAUUUUGGUUAAAAUUUUCUCGAAUUUAAAAGAGCGAAUUAAAUAUAAAAGUUAUUGUAGUAAAAAUAUUUUUAAUAUUUAAUUUGAAAUGAAAUGUUAUUCGUUUUUAAAUAUAUCUAGUUUUUUUAGAAAAAAAUUUAAUUUUAAAUUGAUUUUUAAACAUUUAUAUUUUAUUAAUAAAUUUUUAAGAUUAAUUUUAUAUUUUAAGGGAUAAGCUUUAAAUUAAAUUAAUAUAAUAUUUAAUUUAAUAUUGAAAAUUAUAUAAUUUAUAUUGUUAAAAAAUUUUAUUUUAUUAUAAAUAAUUUCAAUUAAUAUAAAAUUUAAUUAAAAUUUAUUAUUUUAUAAGAAAAAUAUAUUUAAUAAUAUAAUUUAAGUUAUAAUGAUAAAAUUAGUAUAAAUUUUUAUUAAUAUUAUUAAAUUUAAUUUAAGGUAUUUUAAAGGAAUUCGGCAAAAUUUUAUAUUCACUUGUUUAUCAAAAACAUGUCUUUUUGAAAAUAAUUUAAAGUCUAAUCUGCCCACUGAUUAAUAAUUAAAGGGCUGCAGUAUUUUGACUGUACAAAGGUAGCAUAAUCAUUAGUCAUUUAAUUGAUGACUUGUAUGAAAGAUUGGAUGAAAUAUGAACUGUCUUUAAAUUAAAUAUAGAAUUUAAUUUUUAAGUUAAAAAGCUUAAAUAAUUUAAAAAGACGAGAAGACCCUAUAGAGUUUUAUUAUUUAUUUAAAUUAAUAUUUUUAUAAUUAUUUAUAUUUAUGUUAAUUUUUAAUAAAUAAUUUUAUUGGGGUGAUAAAAAAAUUUAAUUAACUUUUUUUAAUUUAAAAACAUAAAUAAGUGAAUAUUUGAUCCAUAUUUUAUGAUUAUAAGAAAAAAUUACCUUAGGGAUAACAGCGUAAUUUUAUUUUUUAGUUCAAAUAAGAAAUAGAGUUUGCGACCUCGAUGUUGGAUUAAGAUAAAAUUUAAAUGCAGAAGUUUAAAAGUUUUGAUCUGUUCGAUCAUUAAAAUCUUACAUGAUCUGAGUUCAAACCGGUGUAAGCCAGGUUGGUUUCUAUCUUUUAAAAAUAAAAAUAUUUUAGUACGAAAGGAUUAAAUAUUUAAAUUAUAUUUUUUAAUUUGAAUUUUAUUAAAUAUAUAUAUAUAUAUAUAUAUAUACAUAAAAAAAAAUUAUUAUGGGUUU
rnacentral:rRNA from 1 species